AUUGAACGCUGGCGGCAUGCCUUACACAUGCAAGUCGAACGGUAACGGGUCCUUCGGGAUGCCGACGAGUGGCGAACGGGUGAGUAAUAUAUCGGAACGUGCCCAGUAGUGGGGGAUAACUGCUCGAAAGAGCAGCUAAUACCGCAUACGACCUGAGGGUGAAAGGGGGGGAUCGCAAGACCUCUCGCUAUUGGAGCGGCCGAUAUCAGAUUAGCUAGUUGGUGGGGUAAAGGCCUACCAAGGCAACGACCUGUAGUUGGUCUGAGAGGACGACCAGCCACACUGGGACUGAGACACGGCCCAGACUCCUACGGGAGGCAGCAGUGGGGAAUUUUGGACAAUGGGCGCAAGCCUGAUCCAGCAAUGCCGCGUGCAGGAAGAAGGCCUUCGGGUUGUAAGCUGCUUUUGUCAGGGAAGAAAUCUUCUGGGCUAAUACCCCGGGAGGAUGACGGUACCUGAAGAAUAAGCACCGGCUAACUACGUGCCAGCAGCCGCGGUAA
rnacentral:rRNA from 1 species